rnacentral:rRNA from 1 species
GACGAACGCUGGCGGCGUGCUUAACACAUGCAAGUCGAACGGUGAAGCGCCUUCCUUUUUGGUGGGUGUGGAUGAGUGGCGAACGGGUGAGUAACACGUGAGUAACCUGCCCCCUUCUUCUGGAUAACCGCAUGAAAGUGUGGCUAAUACGGGAUAUUCUGGGUCUGCCGCAUGAUGGGUCUGGGAAAGAUAUUGUUUCGGUGGGGGAUGGGCUCGCGGCCUAUCAGCUUGUUGGUGGGGUGAUGGCCUACCAAGGCGGUGACGGGUAGCCGGCCUGAGAGGGUGGACGGCCACACUGGGACGGAGACACGGCCCAGACUCCUACGGGAGGCAGCAGUGGGGAAUAUUGCACAGUGGGCGCAAGCCUGAUGCAGCGACGCCGCGUGAGGGAUGGAGGCCUUCGGGUUGUGAACCUCUUUCGCCAGUGAAGCAGGCCUGCCUCGUUUGUGGGUGGGUUGACGGUAGCUGGAGAAGAAGCGCCGGCUAACUACGUG